GAACGAUCGGAUUUAGCGAAACAAAGAAACGAUCAUUAACCUCCUUUCUUUCUGUCAAAAACGAUGGCCGAACCGUCGGAAUCGACCAUCGGAAGUCUCGUUGGCACGAGCAGACGCUUUGAUCGAAAGGGACGCCCGUAGGGCUUUCGAGCGUCGUUACGAGGUAGUAGUCACCCUUGAACCUCGUUAUAUGCAGUCAACUUUUCAACGCCUCCAACGUCCGCGCGCACGCGCCACCGUCGGACGCGCUCCUCUGCGCGUCCUUGAAUUCUUCUCGGCCCCGACGACAUCGAGGACCAAGAGAUCCGAGAGAUUCUUCCAUCAAGCAAUCGGUCAAAGUGGAGAACAACUACGGAGAAGGGAGAAAGGAACGGGGGAUUCGGUGAAAUGAUCGGUACGCCGCGGCGAAUGUGUAACGGUCAACCGAUCGUUUGUCCGGGACCGUGCAAUCAUCGCCGACACAAGCGCGUAGAGAGGACGACCCAGAAGCGAUGCUGCCGCGCGCGUCCGCUGUUCGACGCCAAAGACGACAAAGUGGCCGGCGGCAACCUCGAGCAGGACGACGAGGACGACGACGACGACGAAGACGGCAAGAUGAAGAGAGUAGACCUUACGAAGGUCGAAUCGCCGCCUCUUCUAGUGGACGAGGAAACGAUUACGAUGAUCGAGAAAGUCAUGCUCGUCAACGUCGCGCUCUCGCAAAUAUUAAUCGAGGACAUUGGGAGACCACCUUCGUGCGACUCCAAAGGGAACGUCGGCUCGUUGAUGAAGUCCGAACGAUAUCAGGGGGAGUCGUCGGAAAUUUCAAGAAGUUCGUCGAGAUGCAUCGAUCCCGGCUCGAAGGGAAGGUCGAAGAAAAUUGGUACUAAGAAAAUGGGGGGAGCGAGGAGGAAGCCAAUGCCAAUCUGCGUCGGAUUUAUCUUGUUCAUUUUCAUCUACGCGAUCGUUCACGCCUCCCUCUCCGCAGUCGCUUGGCACCAAUCUUUCUACGUGAUUUUCCUUUCGAGCCAAAUUUGCGGAAUCGCCACGCUCGUUCUUUUCAAGACUACCGGCACGAUUCCUUUGUAAAUUCUUUUGAAAAUUUCAUAAAGUCCGAAUAGAGAUCGA